UACGGAGGGAGCUAGCGUUGUUCGGAAUUACUGGGCGUAAAGCGCACGUAGGCGGCUUUGUAAGUUAGAGGUGAAAGCCCGGGGCCCAACUCCGGAACUGCCUUUAAGACUGCAUCGCUUGAAUCCAGGAGAGGUGAGUGGAAUUCCGAGUGUAGAGGUGAAAUUCGUAGAUAUUCGGAAGAACACCAGUGGCGAAGGCGGCUCACUGGACUGGUAUUGACGCUGAGGUGGCGAAAGCGUGGGGAGCAAACAGG
rnacentral:rRNA from 1 species